GCCGUGGGCACUGUAGCGUAUACCUGUAAUCCUGGCGACUCGGGAGGCUGAGGCAGGAGGAUCGCAAUUUUGAGGCCAGACUCAGUAAUAUAGUGAGACCCAGUCUCAA
rnacentral:sRNA from 1 species